UACGAAGGGUGCAAGCGUUACUCGGAAUUACUGGGCGUAAAGCGUGCGUAGGUGGUUUGUUAAGUCUGUUGUGAAAGCCCCGGGCUCAACCUGGGAAUGGCAAUGGAUACUGGCAAGCUAGAGUGCGGUAGAGGGUAGUGGAAUUCCCGGUGUAGCGGUGAAAUGCGUAGAGAUCGGGAGGAACAUCAGUGGCGAAGGCGGCCAUCUGGGACAACACUGACGCUGAAGCACGAAAGCGUGGGGAGCAAACAGG
rnacentral:rRNA from 1 species